rnacentral:lncRNA from 1 species
UGGCAAAGUCCUACUUCAAGCAACUUAUGGAAUUGAAUGACAUGGUGGAAAAGAUGGUUUUGGAGAGUCUUAGGGCUAAAAAAUUACAUUGAUGAAUUCUUGAAUUCCAAUGUUUAUAUGUCAAGAUUUUACUAAUUACAAGGUAAUUAAAGGUGAAAAAUGAGAAUAAAUCAGAAUUACCUUCCCACACAGAUAGUUCCUACUUGACCAUAAUUAAACAAAAUCAAAAUGGAUUGCAAGUUCUCUACAAAAAUGGAGAGUGGAUUGAGCUCAAUCAUACUUCAUCAAAUUCCUAUAUUGUUUUAUCAGCAGAUGUUUUCAUGGU